GGUGGAGGAUGGGUGAACCCUGUCUAAUGGACAUGUAAACCUUGCAAUGAAAUCCAUAUACCAAAUAUCAAACUAUUAUUAUUCAUAAUAAGUGAGAAAUUCGCAUGACAAAAAAACCUUCAAUUUUGAUCCUAGCGGUCGCUGAACAAUGAAUUUACAUAUGAGAUUUAAAAUUUGAACCCAUACAGUAUCUUCAUACAAGCAUCCAGGUCCU
rnacentral:lncRNA from 1 species